rnacentral:misc_RNA from 1 species
AAGGAUCAUUAGUGGAGAGAUUAAAAAUCUCUUUAGAACCCCUUGUGUGCACCUAUUGAAAAUAUGCUUUGGGAAGUAAGGUCUAUCGUGAAGCCUCACGAAAGGCCCCUUCCCAGAGUCUUGUCUCAUUCAUGCUUCAAUUUUCAGGCUGAGAAAAAACAAUCACAAAUUUGAAAUCUAAUACAACUUUCAACAACGGAUCUCUUGGCUCUC